GUGUCAGCCGCCGCGGUAAUACGUAGGGUGCAAGCGUUAAUCGGAAUUACUGGGCGUAAAGCGUGCGCAGGCGGUUGUGUAAGACAGGUGUGAAAUCCCCGGGCUUAACCUGGGAAUUGCAUUUGUGACUGCACGACUAGAGUGUGUCAGAGGGGGGUGGAAUUCCACGUGUAGCAGUGAAAUGCGUAGAUAUGUGGAGGAACACCAAUGGCGAAGGCAGCCCCCUGGGAUAACACUGACGCUCAUGCACGAAAGCGUGGGGAGCAAACAGGAUUAGAUACCCUAGUAGUCC
rnacentral:rRNA from 1 species